GACGAACCGAGCGAACGUUGUUCGGAAUCACUGGGCUUAAAGGGUGCGUAGGCGGGCUGCCAAGUUUGGGGUGAAAUCCUCCGGCUCAACCGGGGAAGUGCCUCGAAUACUGGCGGUCUGGAGGGAGGUAGGGGCGUGCGGAACUAACGGUGGAGCGGUGAAAUGCGUUGAUAUCGUUAGGAACUCCGGUGGCGAAGGCGGCACGCUAGACCUCUUCUGACGCUGAGGCACGAAAGCCAGGGGAGCAAACGGG
rnacentral:rRNA from 1 species